rnacentral:tRNA from 1 species
GCUCCCGUAGCUCAGCUGGAUAGAGCAACUCCCUUCUAAGGAGUAGGUCAAGUGUUCGAAUCACUUCGGGAGUA